rnacentral:rRNA from 1 species
CUACGGGGGGCUCCAGUGAGGAAUUUUGCGCAAUGGGCGAAAGCCUGACGCAGCAACGCCGCGUGAGUGACGAAGGCCUUCGGGUCGUAAAGCUCUGUCAAGCGGGAAGAACCCGCGGACGUCCAACAAGCGUCCGCGCUGACGGUACCGCUGAAGGAAGCACCGGCUAACUCCGUGCCAGCAGCCGCGGUAAUACGGAGGGUGCGAGCGUUAUUCGGAAUUAUUGGGCGUAAAGGGCGCGCAGGCGGCCCUGAAAGUCAGAUGUGAAAGCCCGGGGCUCAACCCCGGAAGUGCAUUUGAUACUGCAGGGCUUGAGUAUGGGAGAGGGAAGUGGAAUUCCUGGUGUAGAGGUGAAAUUCGUAGAUAUCAGGAGGAACACCGGUGGCGAAGGCGACUUCCUGGACCAAUACUGACGCUGAGGCGCGAAGGCGUGGGGAGCAAACAGGAUUAGAUACCCCUGUAGUC